AAAAAAAAGCAAAUUUUCGAAGGAAGUGUCGGGCAUUCGUUAUCCAAGACGAUCGCCUAAAACUUGUCCAUAAGCCGAACAGGAGAGAUUUAACAGGUGAGUAGUAUAUUCGUGUAGAAACGAAAAGCGAAAUGGUGUAAUGGCCUAUAGUUUAAUAUUUUUACAUAUGAUUGCAGAAGUUCGCUUCCUUCGGGUGAUUAAGGAUCGCCAAUACCAGCUCGACAUUGUGCUGGCCAGUCACCGAGGAGCUGACAGCGACGAAGCUGUUGCUUUGGGAGGCCACGUUGGUAGGGAUAAGGUCAUCGAUCGCAUAAUGCUUAGAUAUUGGCGCAACGUUACAUCUGAUGUAGUUGAAACCAUCAAAACUUGGUCACGGUGCCAAAAAGCCAGUACUUUGUUUAAGAAAGUUUACCCGAAACUGCACAGUAUCCCAAUUAAGCCUCGAAACAUGUACCAAAUUGGCAUAGACCUAUGUUCAUUGACAACGUGAGUUUGGUUUUACACAAAUUGUAUAUAAGUACAAUACUACUAUUGUUAUUUAUACUAUUUAUACUUUUAUGUAAGUUAAUUUUGGCAUGAUUUCAACUGUGUAUUUUUUGAGGUCCUCCAACGGUCAUGUCGCCAUUGUGAUGGCCGUUUGUUAUUUUUCCAAGUGGAUUGAGGCUCGCCCUUUAAAAUCGAAGGAAGCUGUAGAAGUGGCUCGGUUCCUGUACGAUGACAUUCUCUGUCGUCAUGGAUGUGUUGCCAUACAGAUCAAUGACCAGGACAGAGAGUUUGUGAACUCAGUCUCAGCAGAGCUCCACACGCUCACAGGAACAACGCAAAUAAUCACAUCUGCUUAUCAUCCUCAAGCCAAUGGAUUAGUCGAGCGCAGCAACCGAACAGUUCAAAAUCUUCUCCUUCGAACUCUGAGUGAUCGAUAUGAAAACUGGGACAAAUAUUUGCACGACGUCUUAUUUGCACUGAGGUAGGUAAUAUCAGGGUAAACCUGCGAGUUAUUGUCGAAACGUCUGUGUGUACUGUUAUUAGUUUUUGCAUUGCAUUGUUUCUUUUUAUAGAUCUACAGUCCAGGCCCCCACGAGGAUUUUACCAUUCAAGAUGUUAUAUGACCGAGAACCUGUCCUUCCCAUCGAUGUGGACCAUGAGUUCGCUGACUGCACCUCCGAUCCUGAAUUUGAGGAGUCUGACUUCCAUGCUACACUCUCAAAGCUCGAAAUAUUACAGGAUAUUGUUUUCAAGAAAGCUGAUACCAACAUUUAGCGACCUCAGGCAAAACAGCAAGCUGAUUUUGCAAAGAGGCGAUGCAAACAAAAGAAUUUCAUCGUGGGUGACAAGGUGUUGCGUUACAACCUCUGCAGAGCCAACAGAAAAGGAGGCAAGCAAACCGAUCCCAUGCGAGAAGGGGCUGUACUGUCUCAUUAAUUCAUCCACGAAAGUCACCCUCAAGACGAAAGUGAACGGAUGCAACCUGAAGCCCUUCUUCGAACGCACUCCAGAAACAUUACCACCGACUCCCUCAGUUACGUCAUCUCCGCCAUCUCCAAGUGUCCAAAUAGUCGGGGUUCUGCAAGAGGAGAUUACUUACAACUUCUCUCCAUUGACGGUUGCAACGCAGCGAGCAAUCUGCAACAACUCUGGUGGACGUCUGGUAAUCAAGAAAAUAUCAGGUCAUCCGGAAAAAAAAAUAAGACCUUCAAAAACACCAACGAACCUCUUGCCGUUAAAGCAAUUGAAGGUGACGGAAAUUGUCUUUUCCGUGCAUUGUCAUAUGCCAUGACUGGAGAAGAGGACCAACACGACGUUGUCAGAAGCUUGAUAUGUGAUUUCAUUGCCAGCACUGAAAACAACAAAGUUGAAUCAAUGCGUCAGAAUAAAGUGUGGGGAACAACAACAGAGAUGUUAGCAGCAGCCAACAUGUUCCAUGUGAAUGUAUGUGUGUGGGCAAAGUUCGGUUCUAUGCACACGUGGCAUAUACAUAGGCCGAAAUGCAGAAAAGUAGUAAACGAGUCAGUGUACCUCGACAAUAUAGCAGGCAACCGUUUUAAUGUAGUUAUUCGUGUGUAAUGUGCACAUGAUUAGUGAUUACUUUUUGGAUGGGAGACAACAUUAAUGUACUGUAGUGUGAUUACUGAUUAGU